GAUGAACGCUGGCGGCGUGCCUAAUACAUGCAAGUCGAGCGAACAGACGAGGAGCUUGCUCCUUCGACGUUAGCGGCGGACGGGUGAGUAACACGUAGGUAACCUACCUAUAAGACUGGGAUAACUUCGGGAAACCGGAGCUAAUACCGGAUAAUAUUUCGAACCGCAUGGUUCGAUAGUGAAAGAUGGCUUUGCUAUCACUUAUAGAUGGACCUGCGCCGUAUUAGCUAGUUGGUAAGGUAACGGCUUACCAAGGCAACGAUACGUAGCCGACCUGAGAGGGUGAUCGGCCACACUGGAACUGAGACACGGUCAAGACUCCUACGGGAGGCAGCAGUAGGGAAUCUUACGCAAUGGGCGAAAGCCUGACGGAGCAACGCCGCGUGAGUGAUGAAGGUCUUCGGAGCGUAAAACUCGGUUAUUAGGGAAGAACAAACGUGUAAGUAACUGUGCACGUCUUGACGGUACCUAAUCAGAAAGCCACGGCUAACUACGUG
rnacentral:rRNA from 1 species